rnacentral:rRNA from 1 species
GACGAACGCUGGCGGCGUGCCUAACACAUGCAAGUCGAGCGAGUGAAUCUCCUUCGGGAGUGAAGCUAGCGGCGGACGGGUGAGUAACACGUGGGCAACCUGCCUCAUAGAGGGGAAUAGCCUUUCGAAAGGAAGAUUAAUACCGCAUAAGAUUGUAGCUUCGCAUGAAGUAGCAAUUAAAGGAGCAAUCCGCUAUGAGAUGGGCCCGCGGCGCAUUAGCUAGUUGGUGAGGUAACGGCUCACCAAGGCGACGAUGCGUAGCCGACCUGAGAGGGUGAUCGGCCACAUUGGGACUGAGACACGGCCCAGACUCCUACGGGAGGCAGCAGUGGGGAAUAUUGCACAAUGGGGGAAACCCUGAUGUAGCAACGCCGCGUGAGUGAUGACGGCCUUCGGGUUGUAAAGCUCUGUCUUCAGGGACGAUAAUGACGGUACCUGAGGAGGAAGCCACGGCUAACUACGUGCCAGCCGCCGCAGUAAAAC